UACAUGGGGUGCAAACGUUGCUCGGAAUUAUUGGGCGUAAAGCGCACGUAGGCGGUUCGUUAAGUCGGAUGUGAAAGCCCUCGGCUCAACUGAGGAAGUGCACCCGAAACUGGCGAGCUUGAGUACGAAAGAGGAUCGCGGAAUUCCCGGUGUAGAGGUGAAAUUCGUAGAUAUUGGGAAGAACACCGGUGGCGAAGGCGGCGAGCUGGUCCAUUACUGACGCUGAGGCGCGACAGCGUGGGGAGCAAACAGG
rnacentral:rRNA from 1 species